GGCAACAAAGGUGCUGGUAAUCAUAGUAAUUUCAGAUCUUCAAUUUACCCAAAAGUACCUGCAUUGGGUAACAUAGACGUGGGUAUGACAAGUAUAAAACAUUGACAGAUCAAGUAAGUGGAAAAAACACAUGCAAGUGUUGAAAAUAGGUGAGUCUAACCCACCCCUAACAUGCACCCAUAUUGAAUACUUUUAGCUGAGUCCAACUAACAUAGGUGGUAAGAAUGUGCUGAUAGUAGCAGUAAUGACAUCAUAGUGGUGAU
rnacentral:misc_RNA from 1 species